rnacentral:tRNA from 1 species
CCAACCUUAGCUCAGUUGGUGGAGCGAAGGAUUGUAGUGGGUGUGUUUACCUCAAAGUAAUCCUUAGGUUGCUGGUUCGAAUCUGACGGUUCGGA